rnacentral:rRNA from 1 species
CUGGUGAGAGAGAGAAGGCAAAGGGAUAAAUGGCAAACCGGCGGCACUUCUUGGAAUCAAAAAGGUCCCAAUCGCUUCCUUUUCAGCAAUUUCAGGCACUUUUAACUCUCUUUCCAAAGAACUUUUCAUCUUUCCCUCACGGUACUUGUUUGCUAUCGGUCUCGCGCCAGUACUUAGCUUUAUGUGAAACCUACCACACAUUUUGCGCUCAAAUCCCGAUGAACGCGACUCUAUAAAAGCGUACCGUACGUGGAACAAAAAACGCAGGGGAAGGACGGGAUUCUCACCCUCUAUGAUGUUCUUUCCCAAGAAACUUAACCCUGCGCUUCCACUGGUAACGCCUCUCGAGGCUACAAGUCAACAGCUCGGAAAGAGCAGUUGAUUUCCACUUUGAGCUGAUCCCGGUUCACUCGCCGUUACUAAGGGAAUCAUAGUUAUUUUCUUCUCCUCCGCUUAAUAAUAUGCUUAAGUUCAGCGGGUAACCUCGCCUGAUUUCAGGUCUG